AGAAGCAGGAACAGCACUGCUGUGAAGAGCUGUGUGUGAGAAAACCAGCCAGAAGAAGUUAUGCCCUUUGUCUUCAGAUAAGAUUCAAAUUGCAAGAAAUGGGAGGACAAAACUUCUGCAAACACCCUCAGAAGGAGGAUUGGCCUCACUGGAAAUGGCAUGAGGAUAAAGCAGGGCAGAGCAAUGCUGUACAGAAGUCAAGGCUUCCUUGCUCUUCUGCCUUUUGCCAUCAUUGUCAGCACCUACACUGGGAGCACUGCAGCUCCAGGAAGAGAAAUGGGGCAUUUGCAGGGAGGGUUUCAACACCUCAUAGUGGUCUCUGUUUUAUAGUUUGUUUCCUUAUUUGUUCAAAUCUCUCCAACAGCAGAUGAUUGUAAAUAGCAUCAAACCAACUUCACCAGCACUCACCCAUCCCCACCAGACUCUGUUCAUUAGAGAUUUCAUGUUUAAACAUCUGAUGAAUCAUAGCUUUGAUCCAGUAUCAGAUCCAGACGUUAUUGGGAUCCUGCCUGCAACUAAAGACUAAAAGGGUAUUUUGUACAACUGAAGGGGGCCUCAUGUGGCAGAGUCACAGAGUCUGGAGCAUUAGCAGGAAAUGCUUCCUUUUACUAAAUUAUGAGCUCAUCUACUUGAAAUACCCAAAAGUAACGUGACUUGAAAUGACAUGGAAACACACCAGUGCCUUUAUCACGGAGAUGAAGAUAACUCUGCUAUGGCACAGACAGGGCUGUUCAAUACUGGAUCUUCUCUGCCUGCUUGGAAAGCCCCUUUGGCAGUGUGUUGAGGGAGAGAGGUGUGGGCUGGGCUGCAGUCAGGGAGAGCAGAGCAGGUCUCAAGUGCCCCCAGUGAGUUCCUGCAGAGGGGACUGGCAGCAGGAGAAGUGGGCUCUGUUACACUACGGCUCCCCAGAUGGUCUCUGUGCAGGAAGGCCAAAACAAGCAUUUGGCCCUCUGUGUAUUUAACAGGAUUUGUGCCAGGAAAAGAAGAAAAGAGCCCACACACAGUCUGCAAAUUUAUCAAGUAUCUUUCCAGAAGUUAGAAACAGUGAGUCUUUCUUGGGUGACAACUGUGCCUGUGUUGUAAAUCAUCUCUUCCACAACUGAAGAUGGUACAGAACUAACAUUUCUUUUUAUUUUUCCUUUCAGGCUUUUGGUUCUGUACCCUGCAAAUGGCCAGUUCAUAAGCAGCUGCAGAGUCACCAAAUCAGGCCUUAUUAACUGAAAUGAUUUUUCUAUAAUAUUAUCCAUCAAGCAUAAUGUCCCUUGUGCAAAAUUGAGACUAUAAAAGAGUUAAACACUGAAGUCUUUAAUUUCUCUGGGUAUCCCACUGAUGUCAAAGUAAAAUACAUCUGCAGGACAAAUGGGAGGUACUUAUGUAUUUGAAGGGGAUAGUGCUACUGAGGAUAUGGGAAGCACAAAAAGAAACAAGACAGAAACCAAAACACACUGAAUCAUGCUGCUCAAUUAAAGACUACAGCACUGUCAUCCAAAUGGAGGGCGGCAGGAAUCCAUGAAACUCUCAGCUUUCACCACAUCCAAACGGGUGUUUCACAAUGAAGGCUUCUGUAGGGAUCUGCAGUGAAUCUUGAGCCACCCACAUAUAAAGUAUUUUGUUUGUUUUAAACUGACAUGCUCCUUUCCUGGACUGAUAAAUGAACAGGAGAUGGAAGUGAAAGGGAAUAAAUAAAUCUCAAAUGUAGAAAUAAA